UUUCUAUAGUUGAAUUACAACGGUGGCUUUUCGAGUCACAGGUCUUGGAUGGAGACCAAGUAGAAAUU
rnacentral:tRNA from 1 species